AGGGCAAGGCUUAUCCAUUGCACUCUGGAUAUGCUGACCCCUGUUAUUUCCCCAAAUGUGACUGCGUUCA
rnacentral:snRNA from 1 species